CAAGACCGGUGCCAGCCGCCGCGGUAACACCGGCGGCUCGAGUGGUAACCGCUAUUAUUGGGUCUAAAGGGUCUGUAGCCGGCCGACUAAGUCUCUUGGGAAAUCUGGCAUCUCAAGUGUCAGGCUGCCAGGGGAUACUGGUCGGCUUGGGACCGGGAGAGGUGAGAGGUACCUCGGGGGUAGGGGUGAAAUCUUGUAAUCCUCGAAAAAGCCACCAGUGGCGAAGGCGUCUCACCAGAACGGAUCCGACGGCAAGGGACGAA
rnacentral:rRNA from 1 species